AUAUGUAUAUUAUAGCGGUGAUAUGUACUAAUAUGAGUUUCAAAGAAUUUUUCCAUUUUUUCCACUGUGUCACUUUUUCUUUUUUUCCCCUAGCAUUCUUUCCAACCACCACUCAUUUUAUUAUGCAUUUUAAAAAUAUUAAUACCAAAUAUAGGUGAGAAUGCUUACUUCAGAAGGAUGUGUUAACUCCAUGACGAUCCAUUAAAUAAUGACAAAAAAGAAGGGAGAGCACAAGCAACAACCUUUUUUCAUUUUCUAAUCGCGAAACUUCGUUUUUUCUUAACACAGUUACCUUCUUUACCCAUUUUUGAAUAGUUCCUUCUUUUAAAAAGUCUUAGCUUCUACCUAUCUCUUAGAUAAAUAAUCUGAAUUACAUGGAUACAAUAGUUCUGAGCAGUAAAAACAUAUAAAAUUGAUUGUGUCAAGUAAUCAUUUUGUGAAAUUGUCUAAAGAUAGAGGUAAGUUGUGGAAUCAAUCUUCUUCAAUUAAGAAUAAUUCUUAGUAUAAAAAAUGCUACGAAAAAUAUGAUAAAGAAAGGACCGCUUUAUCAAUUUUUUCCUACUUCUUAAUCUGUUUAAAGAUAAGUACGUCUACUUGAAUCAAUCUUCAUAUAAGAAGAACAAAGAAUAAAAUGAGGUUUGAAUGAACUAGACAUUUGUACUCUUAAUUUCUUUCUAAUAUUAUAUAUCUUUUUUUUAAGUAUAUUUAAAAAAAGAAAUAAUACAUUUUUCGCUAGUCUUACCCAUACAUCUUUCAGUCUCUUCAUUAUUACCAGUAGUGUGUAGGCUGUUAUCUUUAUGCAUGAAACUCUUGGGUCCCAUUUUCUUUAAAUUCUGUUAUGUCCAUCACAAAGCUUAAAAUUGUAAUUGAGCAGGAUGUUGAAUAAUUGCGAAACGUUUUCUUAGUCCAGCGUUCAAAAAUAUUUUUUUGAUUUCGGAUAUUAAUUCAUUUGUUCUAGGAAACUCUUUACGAGCAAGUUCAGCAACGUUAUAGAGCUCAUGCACCACGCAGCUCGAUACUCGAUUUUGUCCAUUUUCACAAAAUCACUCCCAUAAACAACUGUUACAUAACAACUGCACGUCCAAAAUGGCUGAAAUAUUAGUAAGUAACCGUCAAAGAUGCUAAAUAGAUGUGACUAGCAGAAACUUUUCUAAGCAGCAUCUUAUUCCAAUUAUAGAAAAUUUGUGCUGAUAUGGAACCGUUAACAAAUAAUUCGACUCCCGGGAGUGGCAUUCUACUAUCCAGACGUACUACAUUAGCUUGGAACUCAAUGCCUUCGUUUUUUAUUAAAAUCUACAAAAAUGUAUGACAUAAUCCAUGUCAGAAACACUGCUUCAAAAAAAAUCUGUAAGGAUCUAAUCGGCCUUCAAUAAAAGCAAUAAAAUUAUUAUCAACAAGCCAAUUGUAUACUCGUCGAUGAAUUGUCAAGUUUGCAGAAGCACGGAGACGCAACGAGAAGAAUUUGAACUGGGGAAGGAAUGAAAGGAAAUAAAUAUACUAAGAUAUACGCAGUUAAAGAGUUACAAUAUUAUAAGUUGCAAAUGAUUAACAUCAAAACAAACUACUUUGCACGUAAAAAUAAUCAGUUCUACUUACAUUUAUAACACUAUCCACCCCUUUUUUAAUCAACUCGACCAUUGAGAAUGUAGUUGAGUCCCAUGAUGCUUACUUUCCAAUAUUGUAUCACGUCGACCCAAUUUCAAAGAAAAUAAUAUCCAAGAGCCCUUUCGGAAUCUUAUUUCCCAGCUAAGUUACCACAUCUCUAUUUCCUUUGUAAAUUUUUCUUUUCGCUUUACAGGUUAGUCAGACAAUAUUCCGUCCAGCCUCAUCCUAUGAAACUACAAAAACAACAAUUGCACUGUAGAUUUUUUACAAACCAUUAGAACAAAGACUCAUUGAGAGAAAGAUCAAGUUCUUUCUUCGCCCUAUCCUUGACAGACCGAACAGCCUGUUCUGCCAAGCCAUUUGAUUAAGGAUAGUACGGUGGGGGAUAUGAAAGAGAUACCCCCCCCAACACACAAACACCCAAAAAAUAAGUUACUGGAGAAUUGAAGACCCUUUUUUAAAGAAAUUUUGGAAAACUACGCAAACAUAUGUUCUAGAGUGGCAAACAUGUUAGUAUUAGACAUGCUCACUGCAUCCAUCCAUUUCCGUGCAGUAUAAUCAGGACUUCCUUCCUAUAGACCUUGGCACAGUCCAUGUGAAUAUGAUUCCAUUUACUUGUCGGGAAGAAGAGGACUAAUUCUAAUGGUAGAGCAGAAUCCAAUGUAUAGAAAAUAAAUCAGAGCUCUUGAAAAUGUACAGAAACGCUUUAUUAAGAUGGUAUGCAGCGAUAUAUACUAUGAGGUUGGUUUACAUCUAGUCGGGCUGUUGUCGCUUCAAAAGCGGAGGAAACUUCAGGAUGUGGUUACGAUGUUUAAAGUUAUUAAUGGAAUGACUCAUUGUAAUAUCAAGCCCAAAGUAUGCAAUACGGUGUACAACACUAGGUUGUCUUCCGAUUUUUACUUCGUUCAGCCAUCGGUAAAUACUAAUUGCCUUCAACAUAGUUUUUUUUUAAUCGAACUAUGCAGAUAUGGAACAACCUCUCCGAAGAAGUGAGAAGAACGUCUUCACUUUGCCGUUUUAAGAGACUUUUAAAAAAUAAUCAACAUCUACUUUAAUUCCACACCACAUUAUACAAUUUCAUUUUAUCAUAAUGUUUUAUUAUAUUUUAUCAUGA
rnacentral:lncRNA from 1 species